rnacentral:rRNA from 1 species
AUUGAACGCUGGCGGCAUGCCUUACACAUGCAAGUCGAACGGCAGCGGGGGAGAAGCUUGCUUUUCCUGCCGGCGAGUGGCGAACGGGUGAGUAAUACAUCGGAACGUGCCCUGUAGUGGGGGAUAACUAGUCGAAAGAUUAGCUAAUACCGCAUACGACCUGAGGGUGAAAGUGGGGGACCGCAAGGCCUCAUGCUAUAGGAGCGGCCGAUGUCUGAUUAGCUAGGUGGUGGGGUAAAGGCCUACCAAGGCGACGAUCAGUAGCUGGUCUGAGAGGACGAUAAGCCACACUGGGACUGAGACACGGCCCAGACUCCUACGGGAGGCAGCAGUGGGGAAUUUUGGACAAUGGGCGAAAGCCUGAUCCAGCAAUGCCGCGUGUGUGAAGAAGGCCUUCGGGUUGUAAAGCACUUUUGUCCGGAAAGAAAUGGCUCUGGUUAAUACCUGGGGUCGAUGACGGUACCGGAAGAAUAAGGACCGGCUAACUACGUGCCAGCAGCCGCCGCAG